UGAUUCAGUAAACUCUUUUGAAAGCAUCUGAACUCAUCUCACUUAAACCUUCGUUGAUCCUCUUCAUUCCCUUCUGCAAUAACUCCACUCCUCUGCAUAUUCCUUCUGGAAGCUUCCUUCUCUUGUUCGAUUGUUUCUCUACUUCCAUUGAUCUCUGCUGCUUUCUUCCUUCUAGAAGCUUCUGCACUGUUGCCUUUCUGUUCUGGUCAUGCGCUUAGAUCCCAUCAGUUAUAUUAGAAAUGAGAUCCCCAAGAACCCUGGAUGGAGGUUAGGAAGCUAGGCACUGUCAAGUGUCAACUACCUGGAAUCACUUAAACUUCAAGACAAGUUCGUUUCCGAGAGAAAAGCUAAUCGAAUCCCGGAUACACUCCUCUCUCUUCAGCAUCACCAUCUUACACCCUCGGAAAACGUAGAACCGAUCACAACCUACUGAUCCCUGAAGCUGAACUCAAAGGCAUUGGAGCUGAGCUUCACUAUACUCAAAGCGGAGGAGAUAUCACUUUCCAUGGCCCUCAUCAAGCCAUCUUAUACCCCGUCAUCUCCUUACGCAGCAUUGGUAUUGGUGCUAAGAACUAUGUAGAGACGUUGGAGAGGUCAAUGGUUUCGCUAUUUUGGUAAUAUUAGUCGAAGUUAAGGCCUUAACUUUUUUUCUUAAAAUGAAUAUUCUUUUUCCCAACAGUUCUUAUCUCCUCUGAUUAUAUUAUACGUAAAAAGGGUUUUUUCAUCUAUAAUAUUUUUUCUUUUAAAUAUUGAAAUACAAAGUAAAUAAAAUAGUAAAUUCAAAUAUCUCAAAUUAUUAACUUCACAACAGACCAUUUUAAACUAAUA